rnacentral:ribozyme from 1 species
AUGCAAGCUUUUCCUCAACCGCCACCGCCGCCGCCACCACCACCCAUGUUUGCACAACAUGGACAACAGGUGCCCCCUGUUCAAAUGCCUCCCAUGAUGCAUCA